rnacentral:pre_miRNA from 1 species
AAAAAGACAAACCCUGAGUUUCCGUGUCCAACGUUUAAUUGUCCGUCUUAUAUGAAAUUUUUUUAUAAUUAGUAUUUUCAUUGUUGUUAGAUGAUAAAACAUGAUUAAUACUUUAUGCGUGACUUAUAUUUUUAAUUUUUUUAAAUAAGACGGACGGUCAAACGUUGGACACGGAAACUCAAAGUUUGUCUUUUU